AGCGAACGUUAGCGGCGGGCCUAACACAUGCAAGUCGAGGGAGAAAAGGGCUUCAGCCCCUAGUAAACCGGCGGACGGGUGAGUAACACGUGGGUAAUGUACCUAUCGGCGGGGGAUAACAAUCCGAAAGGAUUGCUAAUACCGCAUACGUCAGCGGAGUCCACGGACUCUGCUGGGAAAGAUGGCCUCUCAGCGAAGCUAUCACCGAUAGAUCAGCCCGCGUCCCAUCAGCUAGUUGGUGAGGUAACGGCUCACCAAGGCUAAGACGGGUAGCUGGUCUGAGAGGAUGAUCAGCCACACUGGGACUGAGACACGGCCCAGACUCCUACGGGAGGCAGCAGUGGGGAAUAUUGGGCAAUGGGCGAAAGCCUGACCCAGCCACGCCGCGUGAGUGAUGAAGGCUUUCGGGUCGUAAAGCUCUGUGGGGAGGGACGAACAAGUUGCUGGCUAAUAUCCAGCGACCUUGACGGUACCUCCUUAGCAAGCACCGGCUAACUCCGUGCCAGCCGCCGCUGUAACAC
rnacentral:rRNA from 1 species